CAGCCGCCGCGGUAAUUCGUAGGGUGCGAGCGUUAAUCGGAAUUACUGGGCGUAAAGCGUGCGCAGGCGGUGAGUUAAGUCUGCUGUGAAAGCCCCGGGCUCAACCUGGGAACGGCAGUGGAAACUGGCUCGCUGGAGUAUGGCAGAGGGGGGUGGAAUUCCGCGUGUAGCAGUGAAAUGCGUAGAGAUGCGGAGGAACACCGAUGGCGAAGGCAGCCCCCUGGGCCAAUACUGACGCUCAGGCACGAAAGCGUGGGGAGCAAACAGGAUUAGAUACCCUGGUAGUCCACGCCCUAAACGAUGUCAACUGGGUGUUGGGGAAGCGAUUCCUUGGUACCGUAGCUAACGCGUGAAGUUGACCGCCUGGGGAGUACGGCCGCAAGGUUAAAACUCAAAGGAAUUGACGG
rnacentral:rRNA from 1 species